GCUGGGCAUGGUGGCACAUGCCUGCAAUCCCAGCAGCUCAGGAGGCUGAGGCAGGAGGAUUUCAGGUUCAAAGCCAGCCUCAG
rnacentral:sRNA from 1 species